rfam:Streptomyces ambofaciens ATCC 23877, complete genome.
ACCGUGCAGUCGUGGCGGGCGUCGGAGUCCGACAGCGCGUUCUCCCCGAAGUGGUCGCCGUCCGCGAGUACCGCGAGGGCGACCUCUUCUCCGUACCUGCCCUCGGACGUCUGGCUGACCCGGCCGUGGGCGAUCAGAUGGAUACGGCCGGCGGGACUGCCACGCUCGACGAGGACCUCACCCGCCGCGAAGUCACGCUGCGUGCAGCGGCCGGCGAGGGCGGUGAGCACGUCGAUGUCCUCGAAUCCGCGCAGGACGGCCAGUUCGGUGAGCUCCCGGGGGAUCACCCGGACCGUGGCGCCCUCCUGGACGAACUCGACGCGCCCGUCGCCGAGGGUGUGGCGCAGCCGCCGGUUGACCCGGUAGGCGCCGCCCUGGGCCUCGACCCAGGGCAGCAUCCGCAGCAGCCAGCGGGAGGUGAUCUCCUGCAUCUGCGGCGCGGACUUGGUGGUGGUGGCGAGGUUGCGGGCGGCUGCGGUGCUCAGGGACUGCUGCGGCGCGUCGG